rnacentral:rRNA from 1 species
GACAGAGGGUGCAAACGGUGUUCGGAAUUACUGGGCGUAAAGCGAGUGUAGGCGGUCUGAAAAGUCGGGUGUGAAAGCCCCGGGCUCAACCCGGGAAGUGCACUCGAAACUGCCAGGCUAGAGUAUCGGAGAGGUUGGUGGAAUUCUCGGUGUAGAGGUGAAAUUCGUAGAUAUCGAGAGGAACACCGGUGGCGAAGGCGGCCAACUGGACGAAUACUGACGCUGAGACUCGAAAGCGUGGGGAGCAAACAGG